CCGUGACUACCUAACACUGUUGCUUCGGCGGGGAGCCCUCUCGGGGGCGAGCCGCCGGGGACUACUGAACUUCAUGCCUGAGAGUGAUGCAGUCUGAGUCUGAAUAUAAAAUCAGUCAAAACUUUCAACAAUGGAUCUCUUGGUUCCGGCAUCGAUGAAGAACGCAGCGAACUGCGAUAAGUAAUGUGAAUUGCAGAAUUCAGUGAAUCAUCGAGUCUUUGAACGCACAUUGCGCCCCCUGGCAUUCCGGGGGGCAUGCCUGUCCGAGCGUCAUUGCUGCCCAUCAAGCCCGGCUUGUGUGUUGGGUCGUCGUCCCCCCCGGGGGACGGGCCCGAAAGGCAGCGGCGGCACCGUGUCCGGUCCUCGAGCGUAUGGGGCUUUGUCACCCGCUCGAUUAGGGCCGGCCGGGCGCCAGCCGACGUCUCCAACCAUUUUCUUCAGGUUGACCUCGGAUCUCGUAGGGAUACCCGCUGAACUUA
rnacentral:misc_RNA from 1 species